rnacentral:sRNA from 1 species
AGCUGGGAGGCUGACGGCCCGCGGGCGAAAGCGGACUGCAGCCGCGAGCUCCUGGCGGCGGCGGGAUGGAGGCGGCGGCCGAGCCUGGAAACCUGGCUGGCGUCAGGCACAUCAUCCUGGUCCUCUCAGGAAAGGGGGGCGUUGGGAAAAGCACCAUCUCCACGGAGCUGGCCCUGGCACUGCGCCAUGCAGGCAAGAAGGUGGGAAUCCUGGAUGUGGACCUGUGUGGCCCCAGUAUCCCCCGCAUGCUCGGGGCGCAGGGCAGGGCUGUGCACCAGUGCGACCGUGGCUGGGCACCCGUCUUCCUGGACCGGGAGCAGAGCAUCUCGCUCAUGUCUGUGGGCUUCCUGCUGGAGAAGCCGGACGAGGCCGUGGUGUGGAGAGGCCCCAAGAAAAACGGUAACAGCCGGGCGGCGCGUCCGCUGUCCUGGUGAAGGGGGUUAGCGUCAGUGCCGGCCUCUCCUGUGGAAAUGUUCCUCUUCAGCAGCCAGGCCUGUUCCCGGGGACCUGCACAUGACACCCACGACCAGGCACAGGGCUCAGGCUGGCGGUGUGUCUCCAGUUGGGUCCGUGCUGCCACACAGCUGUCCCCAACUCCGGUCAGAGGGAGUGGGGUCUGCUGAGACCCUGGCCAUGGCAUGCAGGGACCUGAGGCCCCAGUGUGGCAGGUCAUAGGGGCAGAGCUGAGGGGGUUCUGCUGCCUCUGG